rnacentral:tRNA from 1 species
ACUAUUUUGGCAGAGAAGUGCCAUGAAUUUAGAAUUCAUUUAUGUAAGGAGUCUUACAAUUAGUA